rnacentral:rRNA from 1 species
GAAAACCACGGUGGUACAGGAUGGGCCCGCGUCUGAUUAGUUAGUUGGCAGGGUAACGGCCUACCAAGACGAUGAUCAGUAGCCGGCUUGAGAGAGUGGACGGCCACAUUGGGACUGAGACACGGCCCAGACUCCUGCGGGAGGCAGCAGUGGGGAAUAUUGCACAAUGGGGGGAACCCUGAUGCAGCAAUGCCGCGUGGGUGAAGAAGCACUCCGGUGCGUAAAGCCCUGUCAGCAGGGAAGAAAAUGACAGUACCUGACCAAGAAGCCCCGGCUAACUACGUGCCAGCAGCCGCGGUAAUACGUAGGGGGCAAGCGUUAUCCGGAUUUACUGGGUGUAAAGGGAGCGCAGGCGGUAUGGCAAGUCAGAUGUGAAAACCCAGGGCUCAACCCUGGGACUGCAUUUGAAACUGCCAUACUGGAGUGCCGGAGAGGUAAGUGGAAUUCCUAGUGUAGCGGUGAAAUGCGUAGAUAUUAGGAGGAACACCAGUGGCGAAGGCGGCUUACUGGACGGUAACUGACGCUGAGGCUCGAAAGCGUGGGGAGCAAACAGGAUUAGAUACCCUGGUAGUCCACGCUGUAAACGAUGAAUACUAGGUGUCGG